ACUAAGCAUGUUAUUUUGCUCAGGCAGUAGGUCAACAACCAGGAUUGUCACCUUGGAUUAAAUAUGGAGGUAUGCUACUGGAAUAAAAGUAAAAUCGAACAAAACAAAGCAUGGACAAUUUGGGGACAACAAAUCAAAGGACCCCCAAGGACAGUUGCUGUAUCCAGAUGAAACCAGUAUCAGAAGGUGCUUACAAAUCCUGCUUGAUUAUCUUUUCCAGAAUUUUCCCAGGUAUUGAUGUUAAAUCAAUUGGCCUAUAAUUUCCUGGAUCCAUUUUUCCCCCUUUUUUUCCUCUGGUAGUUCCCCUGUGCUACAGGAGCUUUGAACUGUCAACAGAACUGUUGGAACUGUGCCCUGAAGGUGUGAAAGUUUUUCAAUAAUAGACCAGAAGGUUUUUUAUACCAACAGGAUUUGUGGCGUCGCCAUCAUAGUUGACAUUCGUUCCCAGUCGGCAGCAGAAACACAUUUUGGAAGGGUGAAUAAAUGAGGGCACUUUGUGGGAAAGCAGCCCUUGAAGUUUAACAGAAGCAAACCCAGCCGAGACAAAGAGAUGCUUUCAUAUGCUACAAUUUUCUGCCUUUUCUACCAGUAUCAAUGCAAGAGCCUUUCCUUUCACUUGACAAACAGAGGAAGCUUUGCUGAGAUGAUACUGAGUCAGAACCAGUCAACAGAAACUGUCAUUGGUCAUAUGAUCAGCAAGAACUGUUGUUGCUAUGGUGACAACACUAUGAUAAAUUAGUCCUGUCUCUGCUAAGCAUUCUGUUUGCCUAGAUGACUUUAAAGGAUCAGUGACCUCAUGCUGUCUCAAUUGCAGAAGUGUAGAAGGACAGCUGUUUGAGCUACAUUACAGCACUAAUGAUAUUUCAUCACCCUAACUAGAUUUUGUAAGAUGCCCACAGUUUGCUGGAGUGGAUGGCCAUAAU